rnacentral:rRNA from 1 species
AGAGUUUGAUCAUGGCUCAGGACGAACGCUGGCGGCGUGCCUAACACAUGCAAGUCGAACGGAGUUCAGAUGGAAGCUUGCGAAAUCUGAAUUUAGUGGCGGACGGGUGAGUAACGCGUGGAUAACCUGCCCAAAAGACCGGGAUAACGCCGGGAAACUGGUGCUAAUACCGGAUACGCUUAUUGGAACGCAUGUUCUGAUAAGGAAAGGUGAAAACCGCUUAUGGAUGGAUCCGCGUCCCAUUAGCUAGUUGGGGGUGUAAAAGACCACCAAGGCGACGAUGGGUAGCCGGCCUGAGAGGGCGAACGGCCACACUGGGACUGAGACACGGCCCAGACUCCUACGGGACGCAGCAG